CGGCCCCAUGUGAAUAUGUCCCAGCUUUUCCUCCUUAGCACCAAUGGCAAAUCUUCCAUGCUGUUUCAGGCAACGUGGUCGACUCUCAGUUUAGGAAACAUGGUGACUGGGGUCCUGGAACCCCAGCUGUGAGUAAUUCCCAUGUUGAGGAUCCCCCUCCCUGCCCUUGUCCUGACGUAGGACUCUGGCCUGGAAACUCGGUGACCUCGUCUCCAAUGCCCAGGAGCAGCCCCCUGCCUCCCACUCAGUGCCUGCCCCAGCCCUUGACUCACUAUGCAGCUGGAGAAGCCGAUGCCCCCCAGGCGGGGACAUAUAUAGUGCCACACACCAAUGCUGCCGCGGCGGAUCCUCUGACCCACAGCCAGCUCCAGGAAGAAGAGGGGGAUCCCGAUGAUGAUCAGCAGCACCAGGUAGGGGAACCUCCAGAUGUUGCCGAGGCCCACAGAGAAGCCAAUCUGGGCCAGGAUGUACUGCAGCUUACUGUUCCAGGCCGGCCGGUCCUCUGCGUCCAGCUCCUCCUCCACCGCCUUCUGCUUGCCGCCUGUCUCACCAGCCACAUUCAGUACACUCUGCUUAUAGUCCACAGGCUCCUCGAGGGCCAGCAGGUCGGCCACGGACUCAGUGACAUGCUCACUGCUGUGCUCACGCUGGGUCACUUUGCUGUUCUUCGGCAUUGAUGCCACCUGGGCCGUGUAGCCCUGCUCCCCAGCACACAGAGAAGAUGGAAUUCAGCUGCUGUCAGCUCCUUCUCAUCCAGGGACCUAGGAAACCAGGUGAGCAGUAAAGGAUUAUCUGAC
rnacentral:antisense_RNA from 1 species